rnacentral:lncRNA from 1 species
UUUGAACUUCAUUUAUUUCCUUAAUCCGUCUCUAUUUCUUUCUUUUCUUUUUGUUUCUCGUUCUUCUUGUUCCGUCUCUCCAUGGAUGAAUCCUACCUAGAUUUGAUCUUCUAUCUUCCAUUCCCUUUCACUAUCUACUCAUCUCCUAGAAAAAAAUGUGGAAGAGUUUGGGGAAAGACAUGUAAGAUGAAGGGUUUAGUCGUUUC